rnacentral:misc_RNA from 1 species
UCUCUCCAUAUAUAUAUAUAUAUUUGACACUAGGGUUCUUAGACCUUUUUUCUGCUGAUUUAGUUGCCUCCUUUGCCCCUAAAGCAGGAGAGGCCCUCCCUUCUCUGGCUUGGUGUUAGUUUCCAGCCUGGUGUGCAUGUGUGAAGGGUCUAUAGGGCUAUUAUCUUUCUUUGGUUUUAUGCUUUGUUGUUUAUUUUCUUUCAACUUCCAAUGCAGAUUGGUGGGUGAAUAAUGAUGGUUUUAGACUAGGAUCUACUUCUGUGUAUAUCUAUAUGUGCUGUUUGGGUUUGACUUGGCCGAAAAAGUUUCUGUUUCAGUUAAGAGAGGAGGGUAUCCUGAGGGUUUAAAGAGUUGGUCAAGUGAGAGCCACCGCCUUUUGGUUAUAAGAGAUUGAGAAACCAAUAAGCUCUGCCUCCUCCUCUAGUUUCUCUCCUUCUAAGGGCCACCAGUCGAGUUUGGGUUGAUGUCUUGGCUCCUAUGGUUUGUGUUGGUUUACGAAGCAUUUUAAUAGAUUCCUAUAGCUAUGAUUGGCUCCUAAUGCAAUGAUCUGGGGAAGAUAGGGCUCGCCUUGGCGUCGGUGGAGUUCAUUUGGUCCCUGUUUAGGAGAAUCUUUGCCAUCAUAAGAUGUCAAGACUAGCGGUGCAAAACUGAGCGUUGGCAGAUUCGUUGGGAUUGGUAGAUUCUUUGAGAUUGGCUCUCAACCUGUUCCUAUGCCGCUUGUAGGUCCUACGAGUUUGAGCUCAGGCCUGGGGAUUAUUGUACUGGGCUUGGGCUUUCUAUUUUUUGAGUCUAUUUUCUUGUAUUGUAGUUACGUUCCUAUUUUUAGGCCAUAGGUCUUGUAACAAUCACUGUACCUUUUAAGACCUUUUAAUAAAAUUUAUCUAUCUC